rnacentral:rRNA from 1 species
UACGGAGGGGGCUAGCGUUGUUCGGAAUUACUGGGCGUAAAGCGCACGUAGGCGGCUUGGUAAGUUAGAGGUGAAAGCCUGGAGCUCAACUCCAGAAUUGCCUUUAAGACUGCCGAGCUAGCAGGUGAGAGAGGUGAGUGGAAUUCCGAGUGUAGAGGUGAAAUUCGUAGAUAUUCGGAAGAACACCAGUGGCGAAGGCGGCUCACUGGCUCAUACUGGACGCUGAGGUGCGAAAGCGUGGGGAG